rnacentral:lncRNA from 1 species
AUCAGCUGCAAAAUAAAAUGCCCAAAGCAGGGAGCACGACCAAAUGCAGUGGUGCAGGCGAACACCCAGGCCUACAGGGCCUGGGCGUUUCCUUUUCUGCUCUGACACUGGGUCAGAUUGAAGGGUCAGUUGUUAAUUCCAGGACCUGCAGCCCUGGCGCCCGCGGGGUGACCCUGGCCAAGGCGGGGUCGCGGGAAGGGGUGAUUCAUGGGGCCCCCUGUGUCCAGACCCCAGGCUGAGGGGGGGGGUGGACUCGAACAGCUCCCCCCCGCCAGGAGGCGCUGCUCUGUGCCAGGGCAGAAAGCCCUCCCCGAGGAGGAGGAGGCGGCACUCCAUUUUCCUGCAGCUCAGCGGAAAGGCACCCCUGCCCCCGCCCUCUGGGGAGACCCGCCCACGGCCCAGCAUCUCCAUGGGCACAAGAUCAGCAGAUUUGACCAUUCUCCCCCAAGCAAGUACAUCGGAGCACAGCGAACCGCAAAGGAGAGAAGAUCCAACCCCAACUUUGAUCCACUGCCACCAGCGCUGGAACCGCCUUGAUGUCCGUUACACCACAGAGAAACCAUUCCUAGUUCUGAGGAACCAUUGCUGGUUUAAGGUGGAAAUCGGUGAGCUGAGAGGCCUGGCCUUCCUGUCAGGCUGUGUCAGAGGAGAACUCUUCAGGCACAGCCCUCAGCUCCUGCACACCUCUGCUCCCUCCUUAGAGAACAGAGCUUGAACCCUGUAGGGGAGGGAAGCUGGAAGCUCCUGAGCGCUCUGUCCAGCUCCUGAGGGCACCCACACUUGAAGGAGGCUCAGGACCACCCAGGCCUGGCCCUGGCCGGUGGUCGGAAUUGACUCAGUGCCUUCAAGACUUGAGAACUGCUGCUGUGAAUUAUGCUGGAAAGCGGGUGCGGAGAGGCAUAGAUCGUCAGUGGAGAUCAGCUACGAUAACUUGUCUUUUCACGUGAUUUUAUAACAAUGAAAUUUCAGGAUCCACUUAAAUCCAAGAGUUAGAGAGACUGUGCAGCUCUAUGAGGAGACCAUCACUGGAACAGAAAAAACAAGAAUCUUUAGCCGUUUGAGAAAGUGCUCACAGGAAAGGCAUGUUAGAAAUAGAAUUUAGAGGCUGACCC